rnacentral:lncRNA from 1 species
GGCCGAGCGGUUCCGGUGAAAAUGUCGAUUCCGAUUGGACUCUCGAUGAUUUAAAGGCAUCUGGCGUUUCUGAGGCAGUUUCGCUCCGUCACCCAGGCUGAAGUGCAAUGACGCGAUCUCGGCUAACCACUCUCCGCCUCCCGGGUUCAAACGAUUCUCCUGCCUUAGCCUCCCAAGUAGCUGGGAUCACAGGUGCCCGCCACCACGCCCAGCUAAUUUUUUGUUGUUGUUGUUUUGUAUUUUUAGUAGAGACACAGUUUAGCCAUGUUGGCCAGCCUGGUCUCAAACUCCUGACCUCAGGUGAUCCACCCGCCUCGGCCUCCCGAAGUGGUAGGAUUACAGGCGUGAGCCACCGCGCCCUGCCGAGGCUAAAGGUUUCUAACCUUUAGGAUGUCUUGGAGCUUCAAUGAGUCUCCUGAUCCUCCCACCUCAGCCUCUGAAGUAGCUGGGACUACAAGCACGGGCCACCACACCUGGCUUUUUUUUUUUUUUUUUAAGAGACCGGGGUGGUAGGGGGUGCGGGGGUGGGGGGUGUCUUACUAUUUUGCCUAGGCUGGUCUCAAACUCCUGGGCUCAACCGAUCCUACCACCUCGGCCUCCCCAAAGUGCCCCUUUUCCUCUUCUCCCCAAAACACAAUGCUGUUGGGAUUCUGAUUGAAAUUACAUUAUUUAUUAUAUUUGUCAUUUUAAAAAAUUUGUGAUGUAACUCCUAUGCCAUAAAUUUACCCUUUUUAAAGAGUAAAUUUAAGUGCACAAUUCAGUGUUUUUUAGUGUGUCCACAAGAUUGUGCCACAAUCAUCAUUAUCUAAUUCCAGAUUAUUUUCAUCACCCCAAAAAGAAACCCCUCACCUGUUAACAGUCACUUCACAUUUCUCUUGCCCCGCAAGACAUGGGCUACCACUAAUCUACUGUUUCUCUGGAUUUACCUAUUUUACACAUUUUAUAUAAAUGGAAUUAUACAAUG